CAGCAGUGAGGAAUAUUGGUCAAUGGCCUAACGGCUGAACCAGCAACUUGGAGGAAUGUAUAGCAAUAGCUACUUGUAUCAUUGUAAAAAUGAUGCAGGAUCGACUAUGUCGAAUAAAAUUCUAGGUAGAAUUAUGAUAAUGACAUUGUCUGCCUAUGUGUCUUGACCAAAUUACGUGCCAGCAGUCGCGGUAAUACGUAGAAGACUAGUGUUAUUCAUGUUUAAUCGGUUUAAAGGGUACCUAGACGGUAAAUCAAGCCUAAAAUUAAAUGAAGGGACUAAUUUACUAGAGUUACUUAUGAGGGGGUAUUAAAGUACUGCUGGUGUAGAGAUGAAAUUCUGUCAUACCUCUUUUCAAUAGAAAAACAAUGGCACAGGUAUAGGCGAAAGCAUCCCCUUAUGUGAUAACUGACGUUGAGGGACGAAGGCUUUGUGUAGCGAACAGGAUUAGAUACCCCAGUAGUCAAAGCAGAAAAUGAUGAAUGUCAUAGAUUAGAUAAAUAAGUUUAUUCUAUAAAUGAAAGUGUAAGCAUUCCACCUCAAGAGUAAUUUGGCAACAUUGGAACUGAAAUCAUUAGACCGUUUCUGAAACCAGUAGUGAAGUAUGUUAUUUAAUUCGAUGAUCCGC
rnacentral:rRNA from 2 species